rnacentral:rRNA from 1 species
UACGGAGGGUGCAAGCGUUAUCCGGAUUCACUGGGUUUAAAGGGUGCGUAGGAGGGCAGGGAAGUCAGUGGUGAAAUCUCCGGGCUUAACUCGGAAACUGCCGUUGAUACUCUCUGUCUUGAAUCCCGUGGAGGUGAGCGGAAUAUGUCAUGUAGCGGUGAAAUGCUUAGAUAUGACAUAGAACACCAAUUGCGAAGGCAGCUACGCUACACGAAGAUUGCUCUGAGGCAC